GCAAAUUUUAGUGGCACAGGCCUGCAGUCCCAGCUGCCCUGGAGGCUGAGGCAGCAGGAUCGCUGGAGCCCAGGAAUUCUUGGCUGCAGUGCUCUAUACCAAUCAGGUGUCUGCUGUAAAGUUGGCAACAGUAUGUUGACCUCUCAGAAGCAGGGGACCACCCGAUUCCCUAAGGAGGGGUGAACCAGCCCACGCUGGAAAUGGGACAGGUCGAAAUUCCUGUGCUGAUCAGUGGUGGAAUUGCACCUCUGACUAGCCACUGCAGUCUCCCCUGGGCAACAUAAGGCUGGCCCUGUCU
rnacentral:lncRNA from 1 species